GCGCCUGCAAAAUCAGGCGACGGAAUUGGAACUCCGGUUAAUCAUACUGGCGACAAUGUAUUAUU
rnacentral:sRNA from 2 species